AUUGCUUCUCAGCCUUUUGGCUAAGAUCAAGUGCAGUAUCUGUUCUUAGUUUACUAUCUGAUAUCUGGUGACUCAGACAGUAAAGAAGGUACCUGCA
rnacentral:snRNA from 1 species